CUAAAGGUAACAAUUUUAUCACAAUUAUAGGCUGAAAUUACAGGCUGAUAAAACGUACAUGUUUUGAGCCGCAAAAGCUGAAAGUAAAAGAUGAAGGAUAUGCUGUUUGUUUUUUCUGCCCUCUUGUUUAUUGCCCAAGCAUUGGCUGACGGCCAUGGGAAUAACACCUACUAUCGUCCGCCGAUAAUGUCUGGUGCAGACAGCAGUGUCAUCUACUUACCUUUGAUGGUGUUGGCUGUUAUUAUAGCACGCUUGGCACUUCGCUAGACAGAUGCAUUUAGUUUCGUUCGUCUAGAGACAGUCAGGUUUUGCAGCUUUAUAAACGCAAGCAUCAGGAUUCACCUUCUUUCCUAGCCUUUGCAAUCUCUGCUUGUAACCAUUGCAUUUCCUUACAUUCUCGUCAUGAGAGGGAAAAAUUCAUUAUGUCAUCUAUAUACGCGAAAUUUUGAAAGCGUCAAGCAAUGAAAGAAGACAGUUUCUUCUUUGAGUAAAGUUCCAACAAUUAUGUUAUAUCACUUUCCAAUUACAGUGUAGAAGUUCAAUUUGGACAUUUGUAUUUGACUGCCAUUUGCAAAGCAACUGCCAGCUUCAUAUUCUGUUGACUCUCCUUUAAAUAAAAUUUCUUUGAAUUUUG
rnacentral:lncRNA from 1 species